UAUUAGAAUGAGUUCUAAAUGUUUCCAGUUCUAACUCAACUCUAUAAUGACAUCACUGUCUUUGUGUUUUGAUUUGAAAGUAAACUUGUUUCUGUGCUUCUAUGUGACAGAAUAUUCCUAUUUCCAUGCAUAUGAUCUGAACAUCUUUGAGGGACAAUGCAGCAAGCCAAUGAAAACCAAGCCAGAAGAGAUAGGAGCUGCUUUGAGUGCCUGACCAUAUGGAACCUGAAUAAUGAUAACCACGAUCCUGCUCUGUGGGGAGUUAAAGACAGAGAAGAAGAUGUAGAAUACCAGGAGAGACGCGAGAGUGAGGAAGGAGAUGAGGAGGAGAGGAGGAGGAGGAGGAGGAGGAGGAAGAGUAUGUAUGUGUGAUAAUAGAAGAGUCAGUGGUGGAGGAAGAUGAUGAGGAAGAGGAGCAGGAAGAUGAGGAGGAAGAGGAAGAAUAUGAGGUUACAUGUGUAGGGGAGUAUGUGGAGGAAGAGGAGGAGGAGGAAGAAUAUGAGGUUACAUGUGUAGGGGAGUAUGUGGAGGAAGAGGAGGAGGAGGAAGAAUAUGAGGUUACAUGUUUGGUGGAGUAUGUGGAGGAAGAGGAGGAAGAGGAGUGUUUGUUGAAGGUUGUGGUGAAAGAGGAGGAAGAGGAGGA